UGUCACGACCCGAAACUCCCAUCGAGCCCGUGACAACCGCCGCGAUGUCCCGAUAGGCACUCAUUACCCCGAAUGCCGAUCGAAACCCCGCAAGGCUUAGCAUUAGCUUCCGUAUCUCCCCAGUGAGCGACAGUUAUUAAAUCUCACAUUUUAAAAAAAUCAUAAGUCAUUUCCAAAUCAAAACAAUAAAAUAUUACUUUCUGGCUCACAGGGGCAUUUUCGUCAUUUUUCUUCGAAAAUACCGAAACUCACUAAAAACAUGGUGUAAAAGCUAAAUAUAUUCAUACAUACUUUAAAUCAAAUAACUGAAGAAUAAAAUUACUUUUAUAGUGACACGUGGGCCCCCAACUGACUAAGAAGAUGUAGGGCUACGAACCCUUACUUUCUAGGAUGCAACUCUGAGAUUAAUUCUCGUCUUAAUCAACUAUCAACAAAUUGUCCUGAGCCUGAAAAAUGGAUAGGAAGAGGGGUGAGAUUAUGAUUACAUAAUCUCAGUGAGUAAACAAUUACCAUCAAAAGCAUCUAAAGUCGAGUAGAUGGAGACAAUAUAAAAAUGUUAUAUCUCAAUAAUGUUCAUAACACAAAAUUCGUUUUAAUCUAUACCAAAUAAUUUCUUUUCAUCAAAAUUUUUCGGCUUAUGAAUUUCUUAAACUUGGCCCUUGCCAGAAUCAUUCUCGCGGGUACCUUCGUCAAGGUAUCCCAUUGAGACCGCCAAGGCUGUUAAAUGACCCAUACCCAUGAACAUGUUUUCACAUCUGACACAGCCGUUCCUUGGCGUUGGCUGAGUCUCACUCUCACGUGGUGGCCUGAACGUGAGGUGCACUCAAAUCAUACCUCAGUAGAUACUUCACCCAACAUCUUCCCCCGGAGGUAAGUAUAUAAUUGAGUUACCGUGCACCUCUCAUAGGCAGUCUACGGAAACCCCUACCACUGCAGUGACCGUUUAAUAUACCACCAGACCCAUAAAAAUUCCAAUAGCAUAAUAUGGCGAAUAAAAUGUAAUCCAGUCUACCGAGACCAAUCCAAAACUAUUCAUAUAUUUCAUGCCAACCCCAAAAAUUUAGCCAUCAUGCUACCAUAGUGUCAUAAGCCACAAUUUCAAUAACAUAUAAAAUCAUAAAUUUCAACACAGUCUCCAUAUACUUAAUUUUCUCAAAACAAUAUUUGAUUUCAAAACCAGUAUAAAUCUCAUUUUUAUUAAAAAAUAUUUUAAUUGGAAAACAUAAUAUUUUAUAAUUUAAACUCACCAUUCAAUAAAAACAUCAAACAAGUAUAAUUACUCUAGAUAUUUAAGACGAUAAAUUAUCCACUCACAGUUCUAGGAGUCGAUAUACUCCUAACCCCAAUCUUCAAGCACAAUCUCUGUACUUUUACCAGUGUAAUUUGCUCACCACCUAUCCACAAUGUACAAUACAUAAUUCACCACAUUAAUGCUUGACCAUUAUAAAAUCAAUUCAGGCUCGAUGUAUAUGCAUGAUAUGACAUGCAACUUAUCCG
rnacentral:lncRNA from 1 species